CCCUUAGAUGUCCUGGGCCGCACGCGCGCUACACUGAGUGUCUGAGAUACGAGUCUGCCUGGUCCGGCAAGGUCUAGGUAAUCGCUAAAAGACACAUCAUGCUUGGGAUAGAUUAUUGCAAAUAUUAAUCUUGAACGAGGAAUUCCUAGUAAGCGCAAGUCAACAGCUUGCGUUGAUUACGUCCCUGCCCUUUGUACACACCGCCCGUCGCUACUACUGAUUGGAUGUUUAAGCGAGGUUCUCGAACUGCUAGCGACUUAGCUUCGGUGAGGUCGCAGUGUGGGAAGUGAACCUAACUUUGGUGUCUAGAGGAAGUAAAAGUCGUAACA
rnacentral:rRNA from 1 species